GUAGGCGGUUUAAUAAGUGAAUAGUGAAACCUGGUGGCUCAACCAUACAGACUAUUAUUCAAACUGUUAAACUCGAGAAUGGUAGAGGUAACNUGGAAUUUCUAGUGUAGGAGUGAAAUCCGUAGAUAUUAGAAGGAACACCGAUGGCGUAGGCAGGUUACNUGGGCCAUUUCUGACGCUAAGGCACGAAAGCGUGGGGAGCGAACCGGAUUAGAUACCCGGGUAGUCCACGCCGUAAACGAUGGAUACUAGCUGUUGGAGGUAUCGACCCCUUCAGUAGCGAAGCUAACGCGUUAAGUAUCCCGCCUGUGGAGUACGGCCGCAAGGCUAAAACAUAAAGGAAUUGACGGGGACCCGCACAAGCGGUGGAUUAUGUUCUUUAAUUCGAUGAUAACCGAAGAACCUUACCAGGGCUUGACAUCCAGGGAAGGUCUGCGAAAGUAGACUGUGCCUUUUGGAACCCUGUGACAGGUGAUGCAUGGCCGUCGUCAGCUCGUGCCGUGAGAUGUUAGGUUAAGUCCUUCAACGAGCGCAACCCUUGUGAAUAGUUGUAUUUUUCUAUUCAGACUGCCCCGGUAACGGGGAGGAAGGANGGGNAUGAUGUCAGGUCANUAUUUCCCUUACGUCCUGGGCUAGAAACGUAAUACAAUGGCUAGUACAAUGCGCANCNAANCCGCGAGGUGAAC
rnacentral:rRNA from 1 species